rnacentral:rRNA from 1 species
GAUGGCUGAGUAAUGGAUAGCUACAUGCCCCAUAGACGGGAAUAACAGUUGGAAACGACUGCUAAUACCCGAUACUCCUUCUCUACCUAAGUAGAGUCGGGAAAUCUCUUUUGGCUAUGGGAUUGGGUUAUCUCCUAUCAGUUACUUGGUGAGGUAAAGGCUCACCAAGGCUAUGACGGGUACCUGGUCUUAGAGGAUGAUCAGCCACACAGGAACUGAGACACGGUCCAGACUCCUACGGGAGGCAGCAGUGGGGAAUUUUGCGCAAUGGACGGAAGUCUGACGCAGCAACGCCGCGUGGAGGAUGACGCAUCUUGGUGUGUAAACGCCUUUUCUACAAGAAGAAAUUGACGGUAUUGUAGGAAUAAGCACCGGCUAACUCCGUGCCAGCAGCCGCGGUAAUACGGGGGGUGCAAGCGUUACUCGGAAUUACUGGGCGUAAAGGGAGCGUAGGCGUCUAGAUCAGUCUCCUGUGAAAUCCACUGGCUUAACCAGUGAACUGCAGGAGAAACUACCUAUAUAGAGUAUGGAAGAGGUAAGUGGAAUUGGUGGUGUAGGGGUAAAAUCCGUAGAGAUCACGUGGAAUACCGACGGCGAAGGCAACUUUCUGGGACAUUCCUGACGCUGAGGCUCGAAAGCGUGGGGAGCAAACAGGAUUAGAUACCCUGGUAGUCCACGCCCUAAACGAUGAAUGCUAGUCGUAGGGAGGCUUAGACCUUUCUGGGACGCACUUAACAGAUUAAGCAUUCCGCCUGGGGAGUACGCUCGCAAGGUUAAACUCAAAGGAAUGACGGGGACCCGCACAA